AUUGAACGCUGGCGGCAUGCCUAAUACAUGCAAGUCGAGCGAAUGAAGGGAGCUUUUUCCUCUCUUCAGCGGCCGACGGGUGGGUAAUGCCUACGAUUCUGCCUGGUCUUGGGGGAUAACGUCCCGUCACGGGCGCUAAUAUCGCAUAGGUUCUGAGGGUGAAACUCGGGGAUCUUUGGUCCACACCCUUUCAGAUGAGCCUAGGUCGCAUUAGCUAGUUGGUUAGGUAAGGGCCUACCAAGGCGACGAUCCGUAGCUGACCUGAGAGGCUGAUCGGCCACACUGGAACUGAGACACGGUCCAGACUCCUACGGGAGGCAGCAGUGGGGAAUCUUGGGCAAUGGGCGAAAGCCUGACGGAGCAAUGCCGCGUGAGUGAUGAAGGUCUUCGGAUCGUAAAACUCUGUUAUUAGGGAAGAACAAAAGUAAAAGUAAAUAUGCACGUCUUGACGGUACCUAAACAGAAAGCCACGGCUAACUACGUG
rnacentral:rRNA from 1 species